GAUGAACGCUGGCGGCGUGCUUAACACAUGCAAGUCGAACGGAAAGGCCCCUGCUUGCAGGGGUACUCGAGUGGCGAACGGGUGAGUAACACGUGGGUGAUCUGCCCUGCACUUCGGGAUAAGCCUGGGAAACUGGGUCUAAUACCGGAUAGGACGAUGGUUUGGAUGCCAUUGUGGAAAGUUUUUCGGUGUGGGAUGAGCUCGCGGCCUAUCAGCUUGUUGGUGGGGUAAUGGCCUACCAAGGCGUCGACGGGUAGCCGGCCUGAGAGGGUGUACGGCCACAUUGGGACUGAGAUACGGCCCAGACUCCUACGGGAGGCAGCAGUGGGGAAUAUUGCACAAUGGGCGCAAGCCUGAUGCAGCGACGCCGCGUGGGGGAUGACGGCCUUCGGGUUGUAAACUCCUUUCGCUAGGGACGAAGCGUUUUGUGACGGUACCUGGAGAAGAAGCACCGGCUAACUACGUG
rnacentral:rRNA from 1 species